GAUGAACGCUGGCGGCGUGCCUAAUACAUGCAAGUCGAGCGAACAGACGAGGAGCUUGCUCCUUUGACGUUAGCGGCGGACGGGUGAGUAACACGUGGGUAACCUACCUAUAAGACUGGGAUAACUUCGGGAAACCGGAGCUAAUACCGGAUAAUAUUUCGAACCGCAUGGUUCGAUAGUGAAAGAUGGCUUUGCUAUCACUUAUAGAUGGACCUGCGCCGUAUUAGCUAGUUGGUAAGGUAACGGCUUACCAAGGCAACGAUACGUAGCCGACCUGAGAGGGUGAUCGGCCACACUGGAACUGAGACACGGUCCAGACUCCUACGGGAGGCAGCAGUAGGGAAUCUUCCGCAAUGGGCGAAAGCCUGACGGAGCAACGCCGCGUGAGAGAUGAAGGUCUUCGGAUCGUAAAACUCUGUUAUUAGGGAAGAACAAACGUGUAAGUAACUGUGCACGUCUUGACGGUACCUAAUCAGAAAGCCACGGCUAACUACGUG
rnacentral:rRNA from 1 species